ensembl:snRNA U6 U6 spliceosomal RNA
UUGCUUUCAGCAGCACACAUACUAAAACUGGAACAAUACUAAGAAGAUUAACCAUGGCCCCUGAACAAGGAUGGCAGAGAAAUUCAUGAGGCAUUCCAUAUUUUU